GACGAACGCUGGCGGCGUGCUUAACACAUGCAAGUCGAACGGAAAGGCCCUGCUUUUGUGGGGUGCUCGAGUGGCGAACGGGUGAGUAACACGUGAGUAACCUGCCCUUGACUUUGGGAUAACUUCAGGUAACUGGGGCUAAUACCGGAUAGGAGCUCCUGCUGCAUGGUGGGGGUUGGAAAGUUUCGGCGUUUGGGGAUGGACUCGCGGCUUAUCAGCUUGUUGGUGGGGUAGUGGCUUACCAAGGCUUUGACGGGUAGACGGCCUGAGAGGGUGACCGGCCACAUUGGGACUGAGAGACGGCCCAGACGCCUACGGGAGGAAGCAGUGGGGAAUAUUGCACAAGGGGCGGCAGCCUGAUGCAGCAACGCCGCGGGCGGGAUGACGGCCUUCGGGUUGAAAACCGCUUUCGGCUGUGACGAAGCGUGAGUGACGGUAAUGGGUAAAGAAGCACCGGCUAAAUACGUGC
rnacentral:rRNA from 1 species